ACCAGUUCUGCGAUAUUCGUUGGACAUUAGGAAGGAGCAUGUUAAUUUGGUUGAUGCACAAUUACAGAAGUUGGUAUACAGUGGCCGGCUUAUCUGAUCAAGAGGAAUUGGACAGAUUUGCAAAGCUGCAUUGACAAGGCAUUUGACUGCAUUUAUAUACUCUACUUUCAAUUUUAUUUCAUGGGUGUCGGGCGUUGGCAGCUUGCUAGCUGCUGGGUGACACGGCCGCGGCAGCAGUUCAGUGUUCCUCUCAUAUUCAGUUAGGAUGAGAAGACUAGAUACUAUUCGGAAGUGGAUGUAGUACAUUCAGCCAGGUCCAGCCAGGUCUGAAGGCACGCUUAGUGUUUUUCCUGUUGAGUAAUUGGUAUGUACAUGGAGAGAUCUGAUUCUGUCAGCUUCAAAAUUUGCUAAUUCAUCAUCUUCUUUGUACAUACUCUUUGCAGAGAUACAAUCUAUAAGGGAUAUCAACACAUGGUUGCAGUGGUCCAUGUUGUGUACAGUAAUUACUUGAUGAGUAAUGUAAUUGUUGUGUAGUAGUACAAUCUGGCUAUUAGAUAUUGCCAGCAUUUUCUUGCCAUUUGGUUAUUCAAAGAAUUGAUAUUAGGGUAGUAGGACAUAAUAAGACUUUUCGAUAAUAUACAAGUUAAAUAUGUAUUUAAUAAAGGUUCAUUGAUGCAGAGGAUGGGGCUUUCCCGUUUAAAAAGAAGUUAAAUAUGUGAUUAUGCAUAAAAGGAAGUCCCCGGUCUAUUUUUGUUGUGGUAUCUCGGCUUAAUGAUUCUUUCAAGGGAAGACAAGAUGGAAAAGAAGCAUCACGAACUAACCCUGGAGAAUUGAUUGUACCUCACUAGCGUCGCCAGUCUCCUAAGCGAAGGUUGGUGUAAGAACCUUCACCUCCUUCUGUUUCAUGGGAGCCGCUGGCGCCAUGUCGGACGCGAUGACAUCUGGAUUGGCAGAAAACACACAUCGGCCGCGAGCGCGGCCGUAUUUUGGAGCUAAACCUAGAAAGUUUCUUGAUUUAUGAUGAAAGUGGAGUUCGUGUGGAAAAGGUGGAGGCAAAUCGGUCGAGGUGGGUUUACACAGGGCUGGCAGUUUGGUCCAUACACACAGAUACAAGAAAUAUGUAUUGGCUAUAUUUGCGUAUACUGUACAUACGAGGUUUUCAUUAGCUAAAUUUGGUUAUAUCUGCGUAUAAUGUACAUGCAAGGUUUCCAUUAGCUAGACCACGGAUACAAGAAAAAUGAACUGACUAUAUUUGGUUAUAUUUGUGUAUAAUGCAUGGACAAUAUCAUUGAACAUCAGCUAAAUGCCUAAAUUUCCAUACGAGGCUGAAACCUACAUUAUUUAACCUUACC